CCUACGGGUGGCUGCAGUCGAGAAUCAUUCACAAUGGGGGAAACCCUGAUGGUGCGACGCCGCGUGGGCGAAGAAGUAUUUCGGUAUGUAAAGCCCUAUCAGCAGGGAAGAAGAAAUGACGGUACCUGAGUAAGAAGCACCGGCUAAAUACGUGCCAGCAGCCGCGGUAAUACGUAUGGUGCAAGCGUUAUCCGGAUUUACUGGGGGUAAAGGGAGCGCAGGCGGCAAGGCAAGCCUGAUGUGAAAGCCCGCGGCCCAACCGCGGGACUGCAUUGGGAACUACCGGGCUGGAGUGCCGGAGAGGUAGGCGGAAUUCCUAGUGUAGCGGUGAAAUGCGUAGAUAUUAGGAGGAACACCAGUGGCGAAGGCGGCCUACUGGACGGUGACUGACGCUGAGGCUCGAAAGCGUGGGGAGCAAACAGGAUUAGAUACCCUUGUAGUC
rnacentral:rRNA from 1 species